rnacentral:rRNA from 1 species
AUUGAACGCUGGCGGCAGGCUUAACACAUGCAAGUCGAGCGGGGUGAUGGUGCUUGCACUAUCACUUAGCGGCGGACGGGUGAGUAAUGCUUAGGAAUCUGCCUAUUAGUGGGGGACAACAUCUCGAAAGGGAUGCUAAUACCGCAUACGUCCUACGGGAGAAAGCAGGGGAUCACUUGUGACCUUGCGCUAAUAGAUGAGCCUAAGUCGGAUUAGCUAGUUGGUGGGGUAAAGGCCUACCAAGGCGACGAUCUGUAGCGGGUCUGAGAGGAUGAUCAGUCACACUGGACCUGAGACACGGUCCAGACUCCUACGGGAGGCAGCAGUGGGGAAUAUUGGACAAUGGGCGAAAGCCUGAUCCAGCCAUGCCGCGUGUGUGAAGAAGGUCUUCGGAUUGUAAAGCACUUUAAGUUGGGAGGAAGGGCAGUAAGUUAAUACCUUGCUGUUUUGACGUUACCGACAGAAUAAGCACCGGCUAACUUCGUGCCAGCCGCCGCCGUAA